UGGGGAAUUUUGGACAAUGGGCGCAAGCCUGAUCCAGCCAUGCCGCGUGAGUGAAGAAGGCCUUCGGGUUGUAAAGCUCUUUCGGCCGGAACGAAAUCGUCCGGGCUAAUACCCCGGAUGGAUGACGGUACCGGAAGAAGAAGCACCGGCUACCUACGUGCCAGCAGCCGCGGUAAUACGUAGGGUGCAGGCGUUAAUCGGAAUUACUGGGCGUAAAGCGUGCGCAGGCGGUGAUGUAAGACAGAUGUGAAAUCCCCGGGCUCAACCUGGGACCUGCAUUUGUGACUGCAUCGCUGGAGUGCGGCAGAGGGGGAUGGAAUUCCGCGUGUAGCAGUGAAAUGCGUAGAUAUGCGGAGGAACACCGAUGGCGAAGGCAAUCCCCUGGGCCUGCACUGACGCUCAUGCACGAAAGCGUGGGGAGCAAA
rnacentral:rRNA from 1 species